rnacentral:rRNA from 1 species
UACGUAGGGUGCAAGCGUUAAUCGGAAUUACUGGGCGUAAAGCGUGCGCAGGCGGUUAUGUAAGACAGAUGUGAAAUCCCCGGGCUCAACCUGGGAACUGCCUUUGUGACUGCAAGGCUUGAGUGCGGCAGAGGGGGAUGGAAUUCCGCGUGUAGCAGUGAAAUGCGUAGAUAUGCGGAGGAACACCGAUGGCGAAGGCAAUCCCCUGGGCCUGCACUGACGCUCAUGCACGAAAGCGUGGGGAGCAAACAGG